UUCCGAUCACUGAGGUGAAAUUGUGUUCACCUGUGCCCCUGUGGCUGACUCAGUGCUUGCCUCAGGUGGUCAAUCAGAGGUUCAGGCCAGGAUUCAACGGUUCCCAUACACUCUCCAAAUGAAGGAGCAAGCAAACAAUUGUGUGGUGCUGAGCCAUCUUCCGGGAUAAACUCCAACAUCCAUACAUGACAGUGAGUCUGAAUCAUUUACUGAUCUAAUGAAAAAUGUCGACAGGGUUCUGCAAGCUUGGGUUUUGUUUGGUUUACUACUGCAUUUUUGCUACGAGGAUUUCUGCUGCACUCUUUCAAGUGUUUCAUAUGUACUGUAUUCUUCAAUGAGAGGAGGACAUCAACCUCUUUAAUGAAAGUUCUUGCAAUCUAGAAGAUCUGGGGAAAAAUCUACCCAAGAAGAAAACACUCUCCAAGGAAAAACAACUGAGGGGUGUAAAAGUGUUAUAUUAAAAUCUGUCGUGAUUUUGUAAUUUUGCUAAUGGUAUUCCACAUCAUAAUUUCAAGGGAAGUAUGGGUAAUUAAAGAGUUAAUACUCCAGUUCUACAGACUGACAACUUUCCAGAUACCUGCUUCUCAAAAGAGAAGAAAAACUACAUAUCCCAGGGGAAGUCAAAGUCAGAGAGGAAGAUAAAUCACAGAAGUCACAGGAUCUCGCUCUCAGAUGGGAGCUCUCUCUCUCUCUCUUGCUGCCUGGCAGAGGGUGUGGGUGUGCUUCCAAGCCAUGUGCCUUCAGUUCAAAGUAGGCCUUUUGGUUUUGGAAACUCUCUCUCUCUUAUUUUAUUUGUCUUAUUAGCCUCAAUUUCAGUUAAGAUUGUAUUAUAUUGUGUUAUCUUGCAUUCUGAUAUCAUAGUUAGUAAAAUUUAGUUUUCCUCC
ensembl:lncRNA